UUGGAUUAGCCCUUAAGAUUUAAAUGCGUUAGACGAAUGGUCUGGAAAGGCCAACGAUACCGGGUGAUAGUCCCGUGGUCAUAGGCGCAUGUUCAGUGAAAUCGAGUAGGGCGGGACACGUGUUAUCCUGACUGAAUAAGGGGGGACCAUCCUCCAAGGCUAAAUACUCCUGACUGACCGAUAGUGAACCGGUACCGUGAGGGAAAGGCGAAAAGAACCCCUGUGAGGGGAGUGAAAUAGAACCUGAAACCGUGUACGUACAAGCAGUAGGAGCACCUUCGUGGUGUGACGGCGUUCCUGUUGUAGAAUGGGUCAGCGGCUUAAUGUUAGUAGCAAGGUUAACCUUAUAGGGGCGCCGUAGGGAAAGCGAGUCUUAAC
rnacentral:rRNA from 1 species